GCAUUAUACAGCGAAACUGCGAAUGGCUCAUUAUAUAAGUUAUCGUUUCACUUUGAUAGUACCUUACUACUUGGAUAACCGUGGUAAUUCUAGAGCUAAUACAUGCUAAAAAUCCCGACUUCGGAAGGGAUGUAUUUAUUAGAUUAAAAACCAAUGCCCUUCGGGGCUCACUGGUGAUUCAUAAUAACUUCUCGAAUCGCAUGGCCUUGCGCCGGCGAUGGUUCAUUCAAAUUUCUUCCCUAUCAACUUUCGAUGCUAGAGUAGUGUUCUAGCAUGGUUACAACGGGUAACGGAGGGUUAGGGCUCGACCCCGGAGAAGGAGCCUGAGAAACGGCUACUACAUCCAAGGAAGGCAGCAGGCGCGCAAAUUACCCAAUCCCGACACGGGGAGGUAGUGACGAUAAAUACUGAUACAGGGCUCUUUUGGGUCUUGUAAUUGGAAUGAGUACAAUUUAAAUCCCUUAACGAGGAACAAUUGGAGGGCAAGUCUGGUGCCAGCAGCCGCGGUAAUUCCAGCUCCAAUAGCGUAUAUUAAAGUUGUUGUGGUUAAAAAGCUCGUAGUAGAACCUUGGGCCUGGCUGGCCGGUCCGCCUCACCGCGUGCACUGGUCCGGCCGGGCCUUUCCCUCUGUGGAACCGCAUGCCCUUCACUGGGUGUGCCGGGGAAACAGGACUUUUACUUUGAAAAAAUUAGAGUGCUCCAGGCAGGCCUAUGCUCGAAUACAUUAGCAUGGAAUAAUAGAAUAGGACGUGUGGUUCUAUUUUGUUGGUUUCUAGGACCGCCGUAAUGAUUAAUAGGGACAGUCGGGGGCAUCAGUAUUCAAUUGUCAGAGGUGAAAUUCUUGGAUUUAUUGAAGACUAACUACUGCGAAAGCAUUUGCCAAGGAUGUUUUCAUUUAUCAGGAACGAAAGUUAGGGGAUCGAAGACGAUCAGAUACCGUCGUAGUCUUAACCAUAAACUAUGCCGACUAGGGAUCGGACGAUGUUAUUUUUUGACUCGUUCGGCACCUUACGAGAAAUCAAAGUGC
rnacentral:rRNA from 1 species